ensembl:lncRNA
GUGUUGACUAUCAAGAGUACAGUGAUGGACCUCAACAUCAUGUUCUAACAGGACAGCACUAUAGAGGACAGUUGACUGUGUGUCUGUGUCUGUGUCUGUGUGUAUGUGUCUGUGUGUAUGUGUCUGUGUGUAUGUGUAUGUGUGUGGUGAUGACUAUCAAGAGUACAGUGAUGGACCUCAACAUCAUGUUCUAACAGGACAGCACUAUAGAGGACAGUUGACUGUGCCUUUAAACAGCUUGGAACAUUCCAUAAAAUGAUGUCAUGGCUUUAGAAGCUUCUGAUAGACUAAUUAACAUAAUUUGAGUCGAUUGGAGGUGUACCUGUGGAUGUAUUUCAAGGCCUACCUUCAAACUCAGUGCCUCUUUGCUUGACAUCAUGGGAAAAUCAAAAGAAAUCAGCCAAGACCUCAGAAAAAAAUUGUAGACCUCCAGAAGUCUGGUUCAUCCUUGGGAGCAAUUUCCAAACUCCUGAAGGUACCACGUUCAUCUGUACGAACAAUAGUACGCAAGUAUAAACACCAAGGGACCACACAACUGUCAUACCGCUCUGGAAGGAGACGCGUUCUGUCUCCUAAAGAUGAACAUACUUUGGUGCGAAAAGUGCAAAGUAAAAUGAGUCCUAUAUCGACAUAACCUGAAAGGCCGCUCAGCAAGGAAGAAGCCACUGCUCCAAAACCACCAUAAAAAAACAGACUACGGUUUGCAAUUGCACAUGGGGACAAAGAUCAUACUUUUUGGAGAAAUGUCCUCAGGUUUGAUUUAAAAAAUGGAACUGUUUGGCCAUAAUGACCAUUGUUAUGUUUGGAGGAAAAAGGGGGAUGCUUGCAAGCUGAAGAACACCAUCCCAACCGUGAAGCACGGGGGUGGCAGCAUCAUGUUGUGGGGUGCUUUGCUGCAGGAGGGACUGGUGCACUUCACAAAAUAGAUGGCAUCAUGAGGAGGGAACAUUUUGUGGCUAUAUUGAAGCAACAUCUCAUAACAUCAGUCAGGAAGUUAAAGCUUGGUCGCAAAUGUUUCUUCCAAAUGGACAAUGACCCCAAGCAUACUUCCAACAUUGUGGCAAAAUGGCUUAAGGACAUCAAACUCAAGGUAUUGGAGUGGCCAUCACAAAGCCCUGACCUCAAUCCUAUAGAACAUUUGUGGGCGAGCAAGGAGGCCUACAAACCUGACUCAGUUACACCAGCUCUGUCAGGAAGAAUGGGCCAAAAUGCACCCAACUUAUUGUGGGAAGCUUGUGGAAGGCUAACUGAAACAUUUGACUCAAAUUAAACAAUUUAAAGGCAGUGCUACCAAAUACUAAUUGAGUGUAUGUAAACUUCUGACCCACUGGCAAUGUGAUGAAAUAAAUAAAAGCUGAAAUAAAUCAUUCUCUCUACUAUUAUUCUGACAUUUCACAUUCUUAAAAUGAAGUGGUGAUCCUAACUGACCUAAAACAGAUAAUUUUACUCGGAUUAAAUGUCAGGAAUUGUGAAAAACUGAGUUUAAAUGUACUUGGCUAAGGUGUAUGUAAACUUCCCACUUCAACUGUAUAUAGCGGGUGAGGGCAUUCACAGCUGACCACUCAGACAGAACCAAUGGGUGUGCCUGAGUCUCAUCACCUCUCAACCAGGGAAGCUGUUUCAACCUGGAACACUAUUAUCCUGCGUUGGUCUUUCAGUCAUUGCAGGAAGUCCUGAAGAUCAGCAGUUGUCCCGAUCCUGCCCAAACACCUGACUUAAACAAUCAACAUAACGAAUCACAGCGAUAGGCUAUGAUUUGUAAUCCGGUAUGAGCUGGAACGAAAGCUUGUACACACUCCUGCCAUUCAGAUCUGGAGCUAUCCACCCUGUUCCCAGCAUGCAGGACCCAUUGAUUACAGGGUAUUGAUUAGCUAAACAAGCAAGUCUGUUUGUUUUGUUACCAAGGCAACUACUGUAGCUGUCUAGCAAAAUUGCUAGCUACUUCAGUGUAUUUUGAACACAUUUCUAGCGGUAAAUGUGUUAAAUUAUAGCCGUGGUAUAAAUAGUGCGUUGUGAAACACAUCUACCAUGUUGUUGAUUAUUUUCCAUAGAACGCACAGCCCCUCGUUGAUUAUCCCUUACAUAAUGCAUGUGCCAAUCUCAAGUUGAAGUUGAACUUGUUGACUGAUGCCCAGGCGGUGGCUGCUAAGAAGAAGAAAUGAAUAGCUGCUGACCAGAAGACUGCAGUGAAGGGAGCACUGGUCCACACCUGCCCUGUCUGUCAGCCUCAAUUUAUCAGGACAUGGACUCUACAAGGUGUCAGAACAGCCUCAAUUCAUCAGGACAUGGACUCUACAAGGUGUCAGAAUAGCCUCAAUUCAUCAGGACAUGGACUCUACAAGGUGUCAGAACAGCCUCAAUUCAUCAGGACAUGGACUCUACAAGGUGUCAGAAUAGCCUCAAUUCAUCAGGACAUGGACUCUACAUGGUGUCAGAACAGCCUCAAUUCAUCAGGACAUGGACUCUACAAGGUGUCAGAACAGCCUCAAUUCAUCGAGGCAUGGACUCUACAAGGUGUCAGAACAGCCUCAAUUCAUCAGGACAUGGACUCUACAAGGUGUCAGAACAGCCUCAAUUCAUCAGGACAUGGACUCUACAAGGUGUCAGAACAGCCUCAAUUCAUCAGGGUAUGGACUCUACAAGGUGUUGAAAGCGUUCCACAGGGAUGCUGGCUCAUGUUGACUCCAAUGCUCCCCACAUUUGUGUCAAGUUGGCUGAAUGUCUUUUGGGUGGUGGACCAUUCUUGAUACAUGCAUGAAAAACCCAGCAGCGUUGCAGUUCUUGACACAAACCAGUACACCUGGCACCUACUAUCAAGCCAAGUUGAAAGGUGCUUCAAUCUUUUGUCUUGCCCAUUCACACUCUGAAUUGCACACAUACUGUACACAAUCCAUGUCUCAAUUGUCUCAGGGCUUAAAAAUCCUUCUUUAACAUGUCUCCUCCCCUUCAUUGAAGUGGAUUUUACAGGUGAUAUCAAUAAGGGAUCAUUGCUUUCACCUGGUCAGUCUAUGUCAUGGAAAGAGCAGGUGUUCUUAAUGUUUUGUCUACCCAGUGUAUGUUAUGUAUAAAAGUCAUAUGUGUGCAUUGUUUAGUAUUUUGAUUUCUUUAAAACAAUGUCAUUGUUGGAGUUCAGAUGUUUGACGUGAUUGUUGGGUGACUAGGUGGGUUCUUAUCAAAUAAAUAUGCCUAAUUCAUUCUGCAAAGGGUUAAUCUGGUUUGACAGAACAUGUCAACAAGUUAGUUCUGAAUUGCUUUAAAUACAGCAGUGCAUUCUGACACCAUGAAUUGAAAUAGAAUUCACCUCGUUCAUAUAGUUGGCAGAAAUGACAAGGGAUUAAAUAUAGACCACUGGCGGAAGGAGGAGAGGAUCUGGUCAAAUAAGGGUAUGUUGCUAAUAAUCAGCUAGGUAUCUAGCUCGCUAUAUAGCUUCUUUGCAACAAAAAAAACAAGCCUAGUUUUCAUGUCACAUUAUAAAUGUCUGACUUGUCGCUAGGAUAGUAUUCUGUACAAGACACAAGACUAAAUACAUAAAUAA